CCGGACGGGAUAAACGCUGAAGGCAUCUAAGCGUGAAGCCCCCCUCAAGAUGAGAUCUCUCAUUCGAAAGAAGUAAGACCCCUUGAAGACGACGAGGUAGAUAGGGCAGAGGUGGAAGGGCAGCAAUGUCCGUAGCUGACUGUUACUAAUCGGUCGAGGGCUUGACCAAAA
rnacentral:rRNA from 1 species